rnacentral:rRNA from 6 species
GGGUUGUGAGGUUAAGCGACUAAGCGUACACGGUGGAUGCCCUGGCAGUCAGAGGCGAUGAAGGGCGUGCUAAUCUGCGAUAAGCGCCGGUAAGGUGAUAUGAACCGUUAUAACCGGCGAUACCCGAAUGGGGAAACCCAGUGUGACUCGUCACACUAUCAUUAACUGAAUCCAUAGGUUAAUGAGGCGAACCGGGGGAACUGAAACAUCUAAGUACCCCGAGGAAAAGAAAUCAACCGAGAUUCCCCCAGUAGCGGCGAGCGAACGGGGAGGAGCCCAGAGCCUGAAUCAGCAUGUGUGUUAGUGGAAGCGUCUGGAAAGGCGCGCGAUACAGGGUGACAGCCCCGUACACAAAAGCGCAUGUGCUGUGAGCUCGAUGAGUAGGGCGGGACACGUGGUAUCCUGUCUGAAUAUGGGGGGACCAUCCUCCAAGGCUAAAUACUCCUGACUGACCGAUAGUGAACCAGUACCGUGAGGGAAAGGCGAAAAGAACCCCGGCGAGGGGAGUGAAAAAGAACCUGAAACCGUGUACGUACAAGCAGUGGGAGCACAGGUUUACCUGUGUGACUGCGUACCUUUUGUAUAAUGGGUCAGCGACUUAUAUUCUGUAGCAAGGUUAACCGAAUAGGGGAGCCGGAGGGAAACCGAGUCUUAAUUGGGCGUUAAGUUGCAGGGUAUAGACCCGAAACCCGGUGAUCUAGCCAUGGGCAGGUUGAAGGUUGGGUAACACUAACUGGAGGACCGAACCGACUAAUGUUGAAAAAUUAGCGGAUGACCUGUGGCUGGGGGUGAAAGGCCAAUCAAACCGGGAGAUAGCUGGUUCUCCCCGAAAGCUAUUUAGGUAGCGCCUCGUGAAUUCAUCUCCGGGGGUAGAGCACUGUUUCGGCUAGGGGGCCAUCCCGGCUUACCAACCCGAUGCAAACUGCGAAUACCGGAGAAUGUUAUCACGGGAGACACACGGCGGGUGCUAACGUCCGUCGUGAAGAGGGAAACAACCCAGACCGCCAGCUAAGGUCCCAAAGUCAUGGUUAAGUGGGAAACGAUGUGGGAAGGCCCAGACAGCCAGGAUGUUGGCUUAGAAGCAGCCAUCAUUUAAAGAAAGCGUAAUAGCUCACUGGUCGAGUCGGCCUGCGCGGAAGAUGUAACGGGGCUAAACCAUG